GUGCCAGCCGCCGCGGUAAUACGAAGGGAGCGAGCGUUGUUCGGAAUCACUGGGCUUAAAGCGUGCGUAGGCGGAUGUGUAAGUCAGGAGUGAAAUCCCAGGGCUUAACCCUGGAACUGCUCUUGAGACUGCAUGUCUGGAAUUCGGUAGAGGUUGGCGGAACUCCCAGUGUAGAGGUGAAAUUCGCAGAUAUUGGGAAGAACACCGGUGGCGAAGGCGGCCAACUGGACCGACAUUGACGCUGAGGCACGAAAGCGUGGGUAGCAAACAGGAUUAGAAACCCUUGUAGUCC
rnacentral:rRNA from 1 species